GUCAGGGUAGCUCAGUUGGUUAGAGCGCGGGACUCAUAAGCCCGAGGUCGAGAGUUCAAAUCUCUCCCCUGAUA
rnacentral:tRNA from 1 species